rnacentral:rRNA from 1 species
GACGAACGCUGGCGGCGUGCCUAAUACAUGCAAGUAGGACGCAGUUGCGAACGGGUGAGUAACGCGUAGGUAACUGCCUAUUAGAGGGGGAUAACUAUUGGAAACGAUAGCUAAUACCGCAUACUAGUAGAUGGAUCUGCGUUGUAUUAGGUAGUAGGUUGGGUAAUGGACUACCUAGGCAACGAUACAUAGCCGAACUGAAAGGGGGAUCGGCCAAACCUGGACGGAGACACGGCCCAGACUCCUACGGGAGGCAGCAGUAGGGAAUCUUCUGAAAUGGGGGGAACCCGGAACGAGCAACGCCGCGGGAGUGAAGAAGGUUUUCGGAUCGUAAAGCUCUGUUGGUAAGGAAGCGGUACCUAACCAGAAAGGGACGGCUAACUACGUGCCAGCAGCCGCGGUAAUUC